CACGCUGCAGCUGAAGACGGGCGGAGGCCUGAGGCUCCCACGGGCUCACGCGGCGUCCCGAGCGGGGCCGGGCCCGGGGGCCGCGCAGAUUCCAGGAGCAGGAGCGGGCUGUGCCGCAGGAAUGUGACAAGUAGAAUCUUACUUCAGGAAAAUUACUCUUGCAACACUAUGGAAGGCAACCAAGAUGGACAAGGAGAAAAGGAGAUGCAUUAAAAACCUGGGAUUCUACAGAACCUAAAGCAUUUCAUGCCAACACGGAUUCCAUCUGUGGUACAUGCAGGGAAGAGGGCUGUCGUGUAG